rnacentral:rRNA from 1 species
GACGAACGCUGGCGGCGUGCUUAACACAUGCAAGUCGAACGGAAAGGCCUGCUUUCCCUUGUGGAUUGCGGGUACUCGAGUGGCGAACGGGUGAGUAACACGUGAGUGAUCUGCCCCCAACUUGGGUAUAAGCCUGGGAAACUGGGUCUAAUUCCCGAUAGGACUGCAGGGUGGUGCCUGUGGUGGAAAACGAUUUUCUAGUGGUUGGGGAUGAGCUCGCGGCCUAUCAGCUUGUUGGUGGGGUAAUGGCCUACCAAGGCGGCGACGGGUAGCCGGCCUGGGAGGGUGGACGGCCACAUUGGGACUGGGAUACGGCCCAGACUCCUACGGGAGGCAGGAGUGGGGAAUAUUGCACAAUGGGCGGAAGCCUGAUGCAGCGACGCCGCGUUGGGGAUGGCGGGCUUCGGGUUGUAAACUCCUUUCGACCGCGAGGAAGCCACCUGGUUGGAAGGGUGGUGACGGUAGUGGUAGAAGAAGCACCGGCUAACUACGUG